GAUGAACGCUGGCGGCGUGCCUAAUAUAUGCAAGUCGAGCGAAUGGAUUAAGAGCUUGCUCUUAUGAAGUUAGCGGCGGACGGGUGAGUAACACGUGGGUAACCUGCCCAUAAGGCUGGGAUAACUCCGGGAAACCGGGGCUAAUACCGGAUAACAUUUUGAACCGCAUGGUUCGAAAUUGAAAGGCGGCUCCGGCUGUCACUUAUGGAUGGACCCGCGUCGCAUUAGCUAGUUGGUGAGGUAACGGCUCACCAAGGCAACGAUGCGUAGCCGAGCUGAGAGGGUGAUCGGCCACACUGGGACUGAGACACGGCCCAGACUCCUACGGGAGGCAGCAGUAGGGAAGCUUCCGCAAUGGACGAAAGUCUGACGGAGCAACGCCGCGUGAGUGAUGAAGGCUUUCGGGUCGUAAAACUCUGUUGUUAGGGAAGAACAAGUGCUAGUUGAAUAAGCUGGCACCUUGACGGUACCUAACCAGAAAGCCACGGCUAACUACGUGCCAGCCGCCGCGGUAA
rnacentral:rRNA from 1 species